GGUGUGGUCAACAAUUGAUGUAAUCAGACUGUAGUACAGUGUAGGUGUGGUCAACAAUUGAUGUAAUCAGACUGUAAUACAGUGUAGGUUUGGUCAACAAUUGAUGUAAUACAGUGUAGGUUUGGUCAACAAUUGAUGUAAUCAGACUGUAG